rnacentral:lncRNA from 1 species
CCUGAGUGUUGAACCACCAGGAAGAUGAGUGGGGGAACUCGUUAAUCCAUGCCUGGGUGACUCUGAAACCAGCAUCGCAGCCUCAGCGAGUGACAUUUGGGCAGUUGUAGCUCUUCUUUAGCACAGAUCGCAACGAACGCAACAAACCAGAGCCUCGUUCUUCCAGCCAAGGACCCUUGUCAUCCAUCAGAGCAGUAAUCAAGAGAUGUAAGUUUGUUUCUUCCUGCUCUGGGUUUUACUCUGUGAUAAUUUUAAAUGAUGGUUUAGAUUUCUAGGAAGAGUGUAUUGAUGACUCUCUAAAGAACCUCACAAGAACAGCUUGUUCUGUUCUUGUAAUAAAGCAUUUCAGACAAACA